rnacentral:pre_miRNA from 1 species
AUCACUUAGGGAUCUUGUUAAAAUGCGGAUUCUAAUUCCGUAGGACCCAAUCAGUAGGUCUCUGCGUUUCUAACAAGCUCCCGGGUGAGGCCAA